rnacentral:rRNA from 1 species
UAAGGAAUAUUGGUCAAUGGACGCAAGUCUGAACCAGCCAUGCCGCGUAAAGGAUGAAGGUCCUCUGGAUUGUAAACUUCUUUUAUCUGGGACGAAAACGGGAUUUUUAUCUCAAUUGACGGUACCAGAGGAAUAAGCACCGGCUAACUCCGUGCCAGCAGCCGCGGUAAUACGGAGGGUGCGAGCGUUAUCCGGAUUUACUGGGUUUAAAGGGUGCGUAGGUGGGCUUAUAAGUCAGUGGUGAAAUCUCCGAGCUUAACUUGGAAACUGCCGUUGAUACUAUAGGUCUUGAAUUAUCUGGAGGUAAGCGGAAUAUGUCAUGUAGCGGUGAAAUGCUUAGAUAUGACAUAGAACACCAAUUGCGAAGGCAGCUUACUACAUAUAAGUUGGCGCUGAGGCACGAAAGCGUGGGGAUCAAACA